UCGCCGUCACCGGAACCAUCAUCACCAAGUUGUCUCUCGGCCUCACAGAGGAAGAUGCGAAGAACUCGCCCUUCGUUCAGAGGCACAAGAGGUGACUUCUGAAUGACGUUGCACAGCUGAUAGCAAGUGUGAUCUUAUUGUGAGAAGGAAGGUUUGCCUGCUUCUUUUUCAUGGAUAAAAUAACAGAAUAGAGAUUUUCUGGAUACUCUACCUUUUAUUUUCCCAUCAGCUGUUGUUUUGUCAUGAAUAAUUUUGACGACUUCAAUUGAUUGGUCAUGUAGCUUGCGCAUUUGAGCUGAACAUUGUUUAAAUCAAAAUGGAAAUCAAAGAAUGACGUCAUAUUUGUUUUA